UGGUGUGCAAUAUGUACUACAUCAGUCUAUAAAAUACUGUGCUACCCCAUUGUGGUUCCAGGAUAACGACUGAGCUAGAGAUUCAUGGCAGUCAUCGUUAUUGGAUUUAUUGCAUCGAUGAUAACUGUUGUGCUCAGAUGACCGUGCUGGAGAUUGUUGAUAGUUUUAGAUUUAAUGCGCGGAAGGAGUAUGUUGUAUCCUGAGGAAUGCUUCAAUUAUGGCUCGGCCUGUGGGCCAAUCGGGGUUCUAAUGGAUAACGGAUUUAUUACAAGGACCGUGCAGGCCCUGGGAUAUCUCACGGUUUUCAAUUCUUUCGUACCCACGGCGUAUUGAACGUUCUGCGCUGUUGAUUUUCGUUAACACCGUCCUCCCCUCACCAAAAAGAUCGCAAUAAAAAUCUGUGUCUACAUUGUUGUUAUCGAUCGACUCGUUAACGUCUGGCUGUUGGAUACGGAUCGCUGUGCGUUGUUCUCUUUUGGAGCUCAUCGAAAACGCCAGUAGACUUCUAUCAACCGUACUUCGAUA